AUUGAACGCUGGCGGCAGGCCUAACACAUGCAAGUCGAGCGGGGGGCGGACGGGUGAGGACUAGCUGUGAGACUGGCUGAGGGAGGGGGAGAACGGCAGGGAACGGUAGCUAAGACCGCAUACCAUCAGAUGUGGGCAGGUGUGAUUAGCUGGUGGGUGGGGUAACGGCUCACCAAGGCGACGAUCCCUUGCUGGUCUGAGAGGAUGAUCAGUCACACUGGAACUGAGACACGGUCCAGACUCCUACGGGAGGCAGCAGUGGGGAAUAUUGCACAAUGGGCGCAAGCCUGAUGCAGCCAUGCCGCGUGUGUGAAGAAGGCCUUCGGGUUGUAAAGCACUUUAAGCGGGGAGGCGUUACCCGCAGAAGAAGCACCGGCUAACUCCGUGCCAGCAGCCGCGGUAAUAC
rnacentral:rRNA from 1 species